GACGAACGCUGGCGGCGUGCUUAACACAUGCAAGUCGAACGGAAAGGCCCUGCUUUUGUGGGGUGCUCGAGUGGCGAACGGGUGAGUAACACGUGAGUAACCUGCCCUUGACUUUGGGAUAACUUCAGGAAACUGGGGCUAAUACCGGAUAGGAGCUCCUGCUGCAUGGUGGGGGUUGGAAAGUUUCGGCGGUUGGGGAUGGACUCGCGGCUUAUCAGCUUGUUGGUGGGGUAGUGGCUUACCAAGGCUUUGACGGGUAGCCGGCCUGAGAGGGUGACCGGCCACAUGGGGACUGAGAGACGGCCCAGACGCAUACGGGAGGCAGCAGGGGGGAAUAUGGCACAAGGGGCGGAAGCCGGAGGCAGCAACGCCGCGUGCGGGAGGACGGCCUUCGGGUUGGAAACCGCUUUCGCCUGUGACGAAGCGUGAGGGACGGGAAUGGGGAAAGAAGCACCGGCGAACUACGU
rnacentral:rRNA from 1 species